rnacentral:rRNA from 1 species
UAACCUGCCCAAGAGAUCGGGAUAACACCUGGAAACAGAUGCUAAUACCGGAUAACAACAGAUGAUGCCUAUCAACUGUUUAAAAGAUGGUUCUGCUAUCACUCUUGGAUGGACCUGCGGUGCAUUAGCUAGUUGGUAGGGUAACGGCCUACCAAGGCGAUGAUGCAUAGCCGAGUUGAGAGACUUAUCAGCCACAUUGGGACUGAGACACGGCCCAAACUCCUACGGGAGGCAGCAGCU